AUUGAACGCUGGCGGUAUGCUUAACACAUGCAAGUCGAACGGUAACAGGCCUUCGGGCGCUGACGAGUGGCGGACGGGUGAGUAACGCGUAGGAAUCUGCCUCAUAGUGGGGGACAACGUGGGGAAACUCACGCUAAUACCGCAUACGCCCUACGGGGGAAAGCGGGGGAUCUUCGGACCUCGCGCUAUGAGAUGAGCCUGCGUUAGAUUAGCUAGUUGGUAGGGUAAAGGCCUACCAAGGCGACGAUCUAUAGCUGGUCUGAGAGGACGAUCGGCCACACUGGGACUGAGACACGGCCCAGAAUCCUACGGGAGGCAGCAGUGGGAAAUAUUGGACAAUGGGCGCAAGCCUGAUCCAGCAAUACCGCGUGUGUGAAGAAGGCCCUAGGGUUGUAAAGCACUUUCAAUGGGGAGGAAAACCUGCCGGUCAAUACCCGGCAGCUUGACAUUACCUAUAGAAGAAGCACCGGCUAACUCCGUGCCAGCCGCCGCAGUAACAC
rnacentral:rRNA from 1 species